GGGAGAAAAAAAAAAAAGCCAAACAAAACCAAACCAAAAACCAAACCAAACAAACAAACAAAACUUCAUUCGGAUCUGAAAGUGGCAGGAAAGUGCCUGGCAAGUUGCAGGGAUGGAGCUACACAGCUUGCAAGAGGCGUUAAAAGUGGAAAUCCAAUGUCAUCAGAAACUAGUUGCACAGAUGAAGCAAGAUCCACAGAACGGGGAUCUUAAGAAACAAAUCCAUGAAAGGCAAUCAAGAAUAGCAGCUCUUAAUGAGAAACAAG